CCGUGGGACGGCCACAGGGUCGGGGAGCGGUCCCAACAGGCCCGACGGCAACCCCCUGUGUGGGGCCUGGCCUCGUGGCACGCAGGGUCCCCAGGGGACACCUGAGGUUCGGAGAGGGGACGUGCCAGGCCCGAGACACACAGCCCGCAGGGCCAGCUCUCAAUGUUGCAAGAAAAAAUAGACCAUUUGGAGUGUUUGCUAGCUGAGAAUAAUGAGAUCAUCUCAAACAUUAGAGACUCGGUCAUCAAUUUGAGUGAGUCUGUGGAGGAUGGUCCAAAAAGUUCACAAGGCAAUUUCAGCCAAGGUGCUGGCGCACCUCUUCUGCCAUCAAAACAGUUGUCCCUUGUAGUGGACCCUGAAGACUGUUCGUUCGCUUUGCAAAGUGGAAGUCGGAAUUCAGAUGUGCAGAUGUUGGAUGUUUACAGUCUAAUUCCUUUUGACAAUCCAGAUGGUGGAGUUUGGAAACAAGGAUUUGACAUUAGCUAUUUAUUUAAUGAAUGGGACUCUAAGCCCCUUCAAGUCUUUGUGGUGCCUCAUUCCCAUAAUGACCCAGGUAAAAUUUACACUUCAAAAAAACUACAGGUUAUUAAGCCCCUGUACACACAGAGUAUUUUAACGAGAAUCUGGUAGAGCUGAUUUCUCAAGUUUUUGAGACACUAUUUGCUGACUUGUUCCAGCAACGUAUUCCUUUUAUUUUGAGUUUUUAUCAAUUUAUGUGCCAUUCAUGGAUAGUACUUGUGCAAUGUGAAAUAGUAAUAAACACAAGAAGGUCUUUGUUUUGGGGAUGAAAAGUUGAAUUCACUUAAGGUGCUGACUGUUCAUCGUAGUUACUUCUUGUAAAAUACUGCGUGGGAGAAUUAUUUUGUGUUCAUAAACUGUGCACUAAAAAAUGCAGAAUUCUCAUGGGAACGUUUGAAUCUUUAAAAUGGAAAAGCAAUGUAAAGUGGUUAAGAGCCUUGGUCAGGUGGACAUGAGUGUGGAGUCCCAACCCCAUGGUGUGAGACAACUUUACGCAAGUUACAGAAUGUGAAAGUAAGUAUUUUCGCGGGUAGAAUCAGAAUAAAGUAUCUACUUUAUAAGAUGAGUUGUAAAAGCGUGAUGCAUGGCCCCGGUAACUCCUGUCAUUAUCAUUAUUGUUAUUAUUUCAUAUGACAGCUUUUGUUAUUUAUUGGGGCUGGAGACCUUUUCCUCCAAGGUAAGGGAGAAUUGCUAAAAUUACAGUGGGAAAUAUGAUUCAAUGUAUAGAUUUGUUAGUGUGAGUACACUGGCACAGAGUAAAUACUUCAUGAAUUCUGUUGCAGAAUUUUUUGGGGAAUGUACUUCAAAAGACUUCCUUUGAGGACUGACUUACACUUCUAUUUGUUACUUUUCUCAAUUUUUCCAUUUCAUCAUUACUAAUCAGAGGCACCAUUAUUCACCUAGUACUUUGAAGGUUUUUUUCUUUACUCCCAGCAUUCAUUUAUCUCUGACUUAUAUCCUUUCCCAUUGAUUUAUUGGCAUAUGUUCCCUUCUGUUUCUAAGACAGUAGAACUUGUUGCUUUAGGUCUGGAUGGACACAUGAUUUGGUGAAGUUGUGUGUGUCUGUGUGUGCGUACACACGUGUGCUGCUUUGGAUGUGAAAGGUACUCGGACAGUUUGGAUGCUGAAAUGUUUGAAUUUCCAUAAAACUUCAAAAUUCAGUAUGCACAGAGGUCUGAAAUAUGUGAAAUCAAUAUUAUUUUGGAAAUUUGUGAUGAGCAUAUGUCACACCAGCUUCUGACUUGGUUUCUCUGUCUUUGGUCUUAAUGUCUUUAUCUUUUCUUACAAAUACCCAUCCAUCUUAUUAACCUUUCCUCUUAAAUGUUUUGCAUCUUCUUCCUCCUUAAUCUUAGCCUGUCCCUUCAAAUCCAAACUCCGAUGGCCAGGCAUCAUGGAAAGACUGCAGGGAUCUGGAGCCAGGCAGAAUGAGGCAGGCAUCC